UACGGGGGGGGCAAGCGUUGUUCGGAAUUACUGGGCGUAAAGGGCUCGUAGGCGGCCAACUAAGUCGAACGUGAAAUCCCUGGGCUCAACCCAGGAACUGCGUCCGAUACUGGGAGGCUUGAAUCCGGGAGAGGGAUGCGGAAUUCCAGGUGUAGCGGUGAAAUGCGUAGAUAUCUGGAGGAACACCGGUGGCGAAAGCGGCUCUCUGGUCCGGACCUGACGCUGAGGCGCGAAAGCGUGGGGAGCAAACAGG
rnacentral:rRNA from 1 species